CCUACGGGGGGCUGUAGUGAGGAAUAUUGGUCAAUGGACGAGAGUCUGAACCAGCCAAGUAGCGUGAAGGAUGACUGCCCUAUGGGUUGUAAACUUCUUUUAUAUGGGAAUAAAAUGUUCCACGUGUGGGAUUUUGUAUGUACCAUAUGAAUAAGGAUCGGCUAACUCCGUGCCAGCAGCCGCGGUAAUACGGAGGAUCCGAGCGUUAUACGGAUUUAUUGGGUUUAAAGGGAGCGUAGGUGGAUUGUUAAGUCAGUUGUGAAAGUGUGCGGCUCAACCGUAAAAUUGCAGUUGAAACUGGCAGUCUUGAGUACAGUAGAGGUGGGCGGAAUUCGUGGUGUAGCGGUGAAAUGCUUAGAUAUCACGAAGAACUCCGAUUGCGAAGGCAGUUCACUGGACUGCAACUGACACUGAGGCUCGAAAGUGUGGGUAUCAAACAGGAUUAGAUACCCUAGUAGUC
rnacentral:rRNA from 1 species